AUUCCAGCUCUGUAAGCGUAUACCAAAGUUGUUGCAGUUAAAACGCUCGUAGUCGGAGGUUGGCGGGCAAUUCAGGGCGUCUUCACGGACGGGUCUGGAAUGGCCGCCUUUGUGGAUGGGGGCCCAGUGGAGCUUCACUGCGUCACUGUGGUCGCUGCCACCGUUUACUGUGAAAAAAUUAGAGUGUUCAAAGCAGGCGUUUGCCAUGAAUACAUUAGCAUGGAAUAAUAGAAUAGGACCUGUUUCCUGUUUUGUUGGUUUGUGAGGAUCGGGUAAUGAUUAAGAGGGACGGUUGGGGGCAUUUGUAUUCCGGCGUCAGAGGUGAAAUUCUUGGAUUGGCGGAAGACAAACGGCUGCGAAAGCGUCUGCCAAGGACGUUUUCAUUA
rnacentral:rRNA from 1 species